rnacentral:rRNA from 1 species
UACGUAGGGUGCAAGCGUUAUCCGGAAUUAUUGGGCGUAAAGAGCUCGUAGGCGGUUUGUCGCGUCUGCUGUGAAAGCUGGAGGCUCAACCUCCAGCCUGCAGUGGGUACGGGCAAACUAGAGUGCGGUAGGGGAGAUUGGAAUUCCUGGUGUAGCGGUGGAAUGCGCAGAUAUCAGGAGGAACACCGAUGGCGAAGGCAGAUCUCUGGGCCGUAACUGACGCUGAGGAGCGAAAGCAUGGGGAGCGAACAGG